GAUGAAGAACGUAGCGAAAUGCGAUAAGUAAUGUGAAUUGCAGAAUUCAGUGAAUCAUCGAGUUUUUGAACGCACAUUGCGCCCCUUGGUAUUCCAUGGGGCAUGCCUGUUCGAGCGUCAUUUGUACCUUCAAGCUCUGCUUGGUGUUGGGUGUUUGUCUCGCCUCUGCGUGUAGACUCGCCUCAAAACAAUUGGCAGCCGGCGUAUUGAUUUCGGAGCGCAGUACAUCUCGCGCUUUGCACUCAUAACGACGACGUCCAAAAGUACAUUUUUACACUCUUGACCUCGGAUCAGGUAGGGAUACCCGCUGAACUUAAGCAUAUCAAUAAGCGGAGGA
rnacentral:misc_RNA from 1 species